rnacentral:misc_RNA from 1 species
GAUGAAGAACGUAGUGAAAUGCGAUAAUUAAUGUGAAUUGCAGAAUUCAGUGAAUCAUCGAGUCUUUGAACGCACAUUGCGCCCCCUGGUAUUCCGGGGGGCAUGCCUGUCCGAGCGUCAUUGCUGCCCUCAAGCACGGCUUGUGUGUUGGGCUUCCGUCCCUGGCAACGGGGACGGGCCCAAAAGGCAGUGGCGGCACCAUGUCUGGUCCUCGAGCGUAUGGGGCUUUGUCACCCGCUCCCGUAGGUCCAGCUGGCAGCUAGCCUCGCAACCAAUCUUUUUAACCAGGUUGACCUCGGAUCAGGUAGGGAUACCCGCUGAACUUAAGCAUAUCAAUAAGCGGCGG